GCUAAUCCUCCUCCGGCGCCAAUCCUCCUCCGCUGCGCACUGCGCUGCCAUUAGACCCCGCCUGCGCCGCCGACUCCCACUACCGUCUGAACAGCGAUGGCACCGGCCAAAUUGGCAUUCCCUGCAGGCCGUUGACUGGGCUCUCUCCAAACAUGCCUACGAUUCGCACAGCCAUUCUAAGACCAGGCCCAUCAUCUUAAUCGGAGGAACGAUUGUCCUUCUACACGAGUUAACUGUAUCUACCGGCGCCCUAAUGAUGGAUUCAUGGUGGCAGUCGUGUAGGUGUGCGCAGGGAGGUAGUCAAAUCCCGAGCAAGGCAUACCCACGUUCGAGCAUGGCGGCGGCGGGGAGGACCACGGUGUGGCUGCAGUGCCGCCAUGACUUCCAUCCCGGUAAGGAGUUAUGUAACACCAAUCUUCCAUGGAUUUGAUUCUGAAUUUCGAUCCCCACCCACUAUAUUUCGUACUUUCAGUAGCAGCCAAGUUUUUUGCCUAGGUAGUCGGCUUCAUGCUUUGGUGCAGAUUCGACAUGUGUUUCUUUUUCGUUCUCACCUAUCAGACGACCAACUAUGAGAAUGUUAUUAUGGUUCCCAAUGUUUCAUGGACAAUUCAACGGUAUCUUUUGUAUGGCUACUGUCAAAAAUCCAGUUAUCUUAUAAGCUUAUUGAGCUCCUGGCAUGUCAUUAAUGAUCGAUGAAUUAUUGUAUUCUUCAGCGACAAAUUGUACCAAAGGAAUGAGGCAUCAAAAAUAUUUAUGUUCCCUGUUGAAUGGAUCUUUUCUCAAGGCUGUAUAUGUUUAUAUAACUACAGUCUUCUUCUAUCCCCUUAUUGUCAACGUUUUUGCCAAGCAAGUUGCUGAAAUAUUUAUACAUUGUUUCUAAAAUCGAUAUGUAUACAGCCUGUGUGAUAUCGUUACUUGUGCAGAAUGCUGCUUACCGCUUGAAUUUUUUGAAUUGUUAAUUCAUUAAAUUCUUACAUGGAGGUGCUUGUUCUCAUGGAUAUGAGCUAUUGAUCUAUCACUACGGCGGAGAUAUUCGAUGAAGAUUGGUCCAAGAAGAGUUGUUUCCUGUUCUCUACAUAAGGUUAUUUUCAAUCCCUAAUGUUGCAUUCAGAUUAGUACUAAUUUUCUGAUGUGAUCUGGCCUUUUGUUAUAUGGUUUUCUGUUUCAGGGGCUAAGAGAGUUUGUUUGCUUAUAUCAUUGGCACUGCUACUGAUUGCCUGCUGCAGAAUGAUUCCCCUAAGACUUUGUCAGCAACCACUUAUCACUUGGUUACUAGGAGUUUAUCAGAAAAUGCUAACUGUUAAUACAUUCUGUGCAGAUAAUUCAUUUCAUUUGCAAGCACAAUGUUCUCCAUCUGAACAAACCUGGAGCUAGGUUUGUAAAUAAUGGUCUGCCUUAGAUACCCAGAAGUUGUGUUGCCAGUUUAAUGAUUCUUCACAUGAAGCAGCUAUCCAAAUCAUAUCCACAGUUUUACCUCAUUUUGCCAAUUAUAACUUGGAAUAUGCUUAUUUUCUGGCCGAACUAAGUCCAGUUGGCUGGAUUUAACCAAAAUUUUAGUGGCUGCACCUUUUAGCUCUGCUAUAAUACUUGUGUGCAUAUGAAGAAGAUGUAAGGUAUCAAGUUAAUUAUUGGCUCUAUGUUUAGUUCAAGUACAAAUUUAAGGGCUGAAGCUCUUGUUACUUAUAAGGAAGUGUGGGCUAUGCUGGGAAUAAGAGGCUUUUGAUUUUCUUUUUA